rnacentral:rRNA from 1 species
UACGGAGGGAGCAAGCGUUGUUCGGAAUUACUGGGCGUAAAGCGCAUGUAGGCGGCCCAACAAGUCGAAUGUGAAAUCCCGGAGCUCAACUCCGGAACUGCAUACGAUACUGUUGGGCUCGAGUCUCGGAGAGGAUGGCGGAAUUUCCGGUGUAGAGGUGAAAUUCGUAGAUAUCGGAAGGAACACCAGUGGCGAAGGCGGCCGUCUGGACGAUGACUGACGCUGAGAUGCGAAAGCGUGGGGAGCAAACAGG